rnacentral:rRNA from 1 species
AAUAGGCUAAUUAAGAGCGUAAGGGGAAUGCCUUGGCUCUCAGAGGCGAUGAAGGACGUGAUAAGCUGCGAUAAGCUGUGGGGAGUGGCACAAACACUUUGAUCCGCAGAUUUCCGAAUGGGGUAACCCGGCAUAUUGAAGAUAUGUCACACUGUAAAGUGAGCGAACCUGGUGAACUGAAACAUCUAAGUAACCAGAGGAAUAGAAAACAAAAGUGAUUCCGCUAGUAGUGGCGAGCGAACGUGGAACAGCCUAAACCUAUGUUGUUACGGCAAUAUAGGGGUUGUAGGACCUCAACAUUUAAUGCUAAUAGAACUAGAAUUUACUGG